rnacentral:tRNA from 1 species
GAGAUAAUAGUAUAAAAUAGUACAAUUUAUUUUCAAUAAAUAAGUAAUUAUCUU